rnacentral:rRNA from 1 species
UACGUAGGGGGCAAGCGUUGUCCGGAUUUAUUGGGCGUAAAGAGCGUGUAGGCGCCAGGGAGGUCCGUUGUGAAAACUCGAGGCUCAACCUCGAGACGCCGAUGGAAACCCCCUGGCUAGAGUCCGGAAGAGGAGAAUGGAAUUCCUGGUGUAGCGGUGAAAUGCGCAGAUAUCAGGAAGAACACCCGUGGCUAAGGCGGUUCUCUAGUACGGUACUGACGCUGGAGACGCGAAAGCGUGGGGAGCGAACAGG